AUGGCCGGUGUUGUCCUGAAAAAUUUAGGACACUGCUGUCCAUAUUGUUUAAAUGUAAUGCCUAAGAUGCACUGUCCUGAAGUUUUGCAGUCAAUGACUGCUGUUGAUAUACUUUUAUUGCUUAAUAACCCCAGAAUGGUAGAUACACUGUUCUCAACUUUUAGGAUUUCAGCUGCUGUUUAUACCUUUAGAGUGGCCAAUUUCGAAUUGACAUCGAAAUUGCUACCAGCUCAGAAGCUGCAGGUACUGAUUGCCAUCUUCAUAUUGGAUUGGUUGAGUUUGGAGCUAUGCACCAGUUAUGUCUGA
rnacentral:rRNA from 1 species